rnacentral:rRNA from 1 species
CUCCCCUAGCUUUCGCAUCUUAGCGUCAGAACAUCGCCAGCAAAUCGCCUUCGCCUCUGGUGUUCUUCCGCAUCUCUACGCAUUUCACUGCUCCACACGGAAUUCCAUCUGCCUCUCGAUGUCUCAAGUUGGAGAGUUUUCCGACGCCUUCUUCGGUUAAGCCGAAGAUUGUCAGCCGGAACUUUUCCAACCGCCUGCAUGCGCUUUACGCCCAGUAAUUCCGGAUAACGCUCGCCCCCUACGUAUUACCGCGGCUGCUGGCACGUAGUUAGCCGGGGCUUAUUCAUCGGGUACCGUCCGUUCUCUUCCCCGAUAAAAGCAGUUUACGAUCCGAAGACCUUCAUCCUGCACGCGGCGUUGCUCCGUCAGGGUUGCCCCCAUUGCGGAAAAUUCCUCACUGCUGCCUCCCGUAGGAGUCUGGGCCGUUCUCAAUCCCAGUGUGGCUGAUCAUCCUCUCAGACCAGCUACCGAUCAUUGCCCUGGUAGGCCAUUACCCCACCAGCUAGCUAAUCGGACGCAGGCUCGUCCUGUAGCGCCUCUUGCGAAGCUUUGCUCUCUGCAAAGAGAGAGAUCAUGCGGUAUUGUCACCGAUUUCUCGGCGGUAUUCCUCACUUCAGGGUCGAUCACCCACGUGUUACUCACCCGUCCGCCACUCCCUCUCACCGAAGUGAGAAGGCGUUCGACUUGCAUGUGUUAGGCACGCCGCCAGCGUUUAUCCUGAGCCAGGAUCAAACUCU